rnacentral:rRNA from 1 species
UACCAGCACCCCGAGUGGUCGGGACGAUUAUUGGGCCUAAAGCAUCCGUAGCCGGUUUUACAAGUCCUCCGUUAAAUCCAGCUGCUUAACAGAUGGGCUGCGGAGGAUACUAUAAGACUAGGAGGCAGGAGAAGCAAGCGGUACUCAGUGGGUAGGGCUAAAAUCCGUUGAUCCAUUGAAGACCACCAGUGGCGAAGGCGGCUUGCCAGAAUGCGCUCGACGGUGAGGGAUGAAAGCUGGGGGAGCAAACCGG